rnacentral:snRNA from 1 species
ACCGCUUCUCGGCCUUUUGGCUAAGAUCAAGUGUAGUAACAGUGACUAUAAUGAAUAGUUAAUUGUUUUAAGAAAAGCAAUUAAAAAAUUGAGCCGAUACUUAAUCUACCCAAU